rnacentral:rRNA from 1 species
GUGCUUGCACCGAGCGGAUGAGUUGCGAACGGGUGAGUAACGCGUAGGUAACCUGCCUCUUAGCGGGGGAUAACUAUUGGAAACGAUAGCUAAUACCGCAUAAAAGUCGAUAUCGCAUGAUAUUGAUUUGAAAGGUGCAAUUGCAUCACUAAGAGAUGGACCUGCGUUGUAUUAGCUAGUUGGUGAGGUAACGGCUCACCAAGGCGACGAUACAUAGCCGACCUGAGAGGGUGAUCGGCCACACUGGGACUGAGACACGGCCCAGACUCCUACGGGAGGCAGCAGUAGGGAAUCUUCGGCAAUGGGGGCAACCCUGACCGAGCAACGCCGCGUGAGUGAAGAAGGUUUUCGGAUCGUAAAGCUCUGUUGUAAGAGAAGAACGAGUGUGAGAGUGGAAAGUUCACACUGUGACGGUAGCUUACCAGAAAGGGACGGCUAACUACGUGCCAGCAGCCGCGGUAAUACGUAGGUCCCGAGCGUUAUCCGGAUUUAUUGGGCGUAAAGCGAGCGCAGGCGGUUAGAUAAGUCUGAAGUUAAAGGCUGUGGCUUAACCAUAGUACGCUUUGGAAACUGUUUAACUUGAGUGCAGAAGGGGAGAGUGGAAUUCCAUGUGUAGCGGUGAAAUGCGUAGAUAUAUGGAGGAAC